GCGCUCCGAAGUGCGGCUGCCACAUUUGGAGAGAGCGGGCAGCGGCUAGCUCUGCGGGUUUGGGGGUGCUUCUCCUCUGCCCCAUCUCCGUGGAGUUUGGUACUUAAAAGCCCAGUGUGUCAACCGCUCAGACUUGAAGGUGGUUAGGUAAAGAGUUAAGAAGCGAGGCGGCUUACACCCAUAACUUUAUCCUCCCCCUCACCUGUAUUUUUCUCCCCUCACACCCCUCCCUCUUCAAACGGCCUUUCAAAGAUGACUUAGGGGUUCCACGAAUGUCGCUGCACGGUUUUGCUUCUCCUCGGGUGCCAUUUCGAGGAGCCUAGAAACUUCCUGCCUUUCUGGUUGACCCUCCGCAGGGCUUUCUCUGACACCGCCAUGGUGGCAACAUGGGCCAAGUGGUACAGGGACCAGCCUAGCGGGUGGGAGGCCUCGCCUGUGGGCUGAGGAGGCACGACCCUGAUCCCCGGCGCGCACAGUAGAAGCGGGACCUGUGCUAAGCCACGGGAAGGGGGGCGCGCCGCGGGCGCGGGGGGCGCGUGGGGCACGUGUUCACCCCAGCACUGGAAAGAGACUUGCGGUGGGCGCCGGAGUCAAGUCUCCUGAUGUUCAUGCGGAGGGGAGAGGAUUUGUAGCCAUCUUUGCUCUGGGUGGAGAUUUCAUAUCCGCAGUCACACGAGGUCUGCAGGACACACCAAAGAACUCCUCCAAGUCACACAAGGGAGAAAAUUAACUUCAUUGGCUUCUAUCAGGAAAGCUAUUUUUUUUUUCCUCUUCUUUCCUGCAAGUUUCCCAAACCCCAUGACUCUGAUUUCCAGGUCAGAGACUAAGGUUUUAUUUUUCUUACUCUGUAUACUUUAUAUGUGGAGAGUCCCUGAAGGAACACUGUGAUGGGCUGAUUACUGUGAGCCAGUUGUGGGCCAGACCUGGCCUCAGGUGCUGCAAAGGGAAUUCAGUCACCCCUGUGCAGUGAUCUGUGAGCCCCAAGUCAGAUCCAACUUUUUCCUGAUAGACAGCACCCUCCUCCUCCCUACCAAGAAAUAGCAGGGUUGGAGGUAGUGACCCAAUAUUCAAGAGGUUUGAAAUUCUACAUGAGAUAUUUCUGAGUUAACUCCUAAAUAGCAGUUUCCUUAAUCAUGUGGAAAAUAAGAACACUUACUAAAGAGACCAUUGGUUUAAGAGAAAUGGAAACUUAUGUCCACGUAAAAACCUGUAAAUGAAUGUUCACAGCAGCCUUUUCAUAAUAGCCAAAAAGGGAAAGCAAUCCACACGUCCAUCAACCAAUGAAUGGAUAAACUUAACGUGGGAUAUACGUGUAAUGGAAUGCUAUUUGGUGAAGAAAGAAAUGAAAUAUUAAUACAUGCGUUAACAAGGAUGGACCUUAAAAUAUCAUGCUAAGUAAGAGAAGCCUGUCACAAAAGAAUAUGUAUUGUACCAUUCUACUUAUAUGAAAUUCCUAGAAUAGGCAAUUCUAUAGGGACAGAAACUAGACUAGUGAUUGGCUAGAGCUUGGGGAGAGUUUGGGGAGCCUGGAGGAUGACAGCAAAGUGGUGCAGAGUUUCUUUUUAGGUUGAUUAAAUGUUGUAAAAUUAAUUGUAGUGAUGGUUGUGCAACUUUGUGAUUUUGUUAAAAACCAUUGCAUUUUGCCCUUUAAAUGGAUGAAUUGCACAAUGUGUGAAUUAGACAUAAGUUUAUUUACAUAAUUAAUAUCUAUUUAUUGAUAUAUAACUCAUAUAUCAAUAAAUAUAUACUAUAUAAAAUAAUUUUAUAUUUAUAUAAAAUGUGAAUUAUAUAUAAAUACAUAAAUAAAACUGCUAAAAACUAAAAAAUAUAUACUUUAAAAAAAGGCUGUUCGUUUCUUUCACAUUUUCUGAGCACAAUCACUUUGGGAUAAAUGUGUCCAGGCUUAAAAAGCCAGAUUUUAUGGGCUAACUAAAAUGGAAAUGUGAAAAACUGUGUUUUUUUCCAUAGGAGGAGAGAGUCUGAUUUGCAGGUACGUGCAUACCCACAGCAGUCAUACUUGUAAUUCUUGGAAACUUUGCUGAAAGUUUUUUCCUAGCCUGAAAUCAUUAAAAUAUGUUGAAA
rnacentral:lncRNA from 1 species